rnacentral:rRNA from 1 species
AAAAAAGCUCGUAGUUAGGAGUUCAGAUUGAGCUCGGCCGGUCGGCCUAAUUGGUCAUAACUGGUUGACUCUGUCUUGUUUGUGGAUCCCUCCGGAGUUAACUCUUCGGAUGUGGAGUCCACAUCGUUUACCUUGAAAAAAUUAGAGUGUUCAAAGCAGGCGUUUGCUUGAAUAUAUUAGCAUGGAAUAAUGGAAUAGGACGCUGGUUCUAUUUUGUUGGUUUUGAGAACCAGAGUAAUGAUUAAUAGGGACAGUUGGGGGCAUUCAUAUUUCAUUGUCAGAGGUGAAAUUCUUGGAUUUAUGAAAGAUGAACUUCUGCGAAAGCAUUUGCCAAGGAUGUUUUCAUUAAUCAAGAACGAAAGUUAGGGGAUCGAAGACGAUCAGAUACCGUCGUAGUCUUAACCAUAAACUAUGCCGACUAGGGAUUGGACGUGGUUUGUUCAUUGACCCGUUCAGCACCUUACGAAAAAUCAAAGUCUUUGGGUUCCGGGGGGGAGUA